CCCAGCUCUAUCCCAGGUGUGCUCAGGUAUAUCCCAGGUGUGUCACACCUGUCCCCAGGUGUCCCCAGGUGUAUUUACCGUCCUCGGUGGGCACGUAGAGGUUCAGGUAGAGGCAAUCCUCGCUCUGAGCAGCCACAUACGCCCCGCACCCACACCCAGGUG